rnacentral:lncRNA from 1 species
UCCCCAGCCGCUUUCAUAGGCCUGGGUGCAAAAACCCAACACUCAUGCAAGUGGGGCACUUGCGCCCUCUUGUGGGAUCAUGUCGCUAUAAGGAAUGGCUCCUUCCUGCUAGACAACGUGCCAUUCUCCAAGAUCAGAGUGAUGGGGUCCAUCCUAGCCAGAGAAAGCCACUAUCUAGCCAUGAAGGGCAAUAUAGUGAUGGCUCAGGAGAAUUGGCCUAAGGAAUUAGAGGCUCAAGAAUCAAAUCCAGCAACUUGAGAGAACUCAAAGGUUUGGAGGACUAUGGCUGCAGAGGCAGCAUCUUCCUCUAACAAGACAGCAAGCAACAGGAUCCCCUGGAGGCUUAGUGGUUGAUGGUGGGGAGAAGUGUCUGCAACAAGGAAAAAAUCCUUAAGCAGCAGAAGGAACAGGACA